GGAUUGGAUUAUGGAUGCGCUAAUGGACGACACUGAUGACAAGGAAAGUGCCAUCGUACAUCCUCUGGGUGUCUUGAGGAGCUGGUCUUUGGAUAAUGCUGAGCAGGUCUUUCUUUCUGGUAAAGAUUAUCAUUACAGUGAAGUAAAAUAAUUUAACAGACAGAUUUACAAACAACUGACGAAAGAAGGGAGACCAUUCAAUAGCGGAUGCCCUUCCAGCUGCAACCCAGUACUGGGAAACA